AGGAUUCGUCCAAGUGAAGCGGAGGACAGUGGCGGACGGGUGAGUAACGCGUGAGGAACCUGCCUUACAGAGGGGGACAACAGUUGGAAACGACUGCUAAUACCGCAUGAUGUGGAGGGGAGACAUCUCCCUUUCACCAAAGGAGCAAUCCGCUGUAAGAUGGCCUCGCGUCUGAUUAGAUAGUUGGUGGGGUAACGGCCUACCAAGUCGACGAUCAGUAGCCGGACUGAGAGGUUGAACGGCCACAUUGGGACUGAGACACGGCCCAGACUCC
rnacentral:rRNA from 1 species